UUCUUUGUUAAUUGUCAGCUGCUUUUUAUCAAAUUCCAGGCCAUUAUCCAGUAAACACUAAAAAAAAAAAAUGUUUGAACAGUUGCGUUUCAAACAUUUUCACUUUGUGGAGUGGUGCUUACCAAGUGGUACAGCUCUUAAGCAAGUGAACA
rfam:Oryctolagus cuniculus cont2.67665, whole genome shotgun sequence.